rnacentral:rRNA from 1 species
CCUACGGGGGGCGGCAGUGGGGAAUAUUGGGCAAUGGGGGGAACCCUGACCCAGCAACGCCGCGUGAAGGAAGAAGGUUUUCGGAUUGUAAACUUCUGUCCUUGGUGAAGAGAAGAAGACGGUAGCCGAGGAGGAAGCCCCGGCUAACUACGUGCCAGCAGCCCCGGUC